ACGUCCACAUUAAGUUGAAAUACCAGUUUCCGUACGAUCCCCAAAGUUAAGCAAAAUCUGAGCCUGUUCAGUACGUAGAUGAGCGACCGCUUGGGAAUACCAGGUGCUGUAAG